rnacentral:lncRNA from 1 species
GGGGAUUUCCGUGAGGAAAGAAGAAGUCUUGCUCAAGCCCUGGUGAGGUAGACAGGACCUGGAAGUCUCCAACUCUCCUGACUUUGUGCUCUUCCUACCACCUGCACGGCCUCUCUUCCUCAUCCUGCAUGAGCUGCGAUUCACUUGCAUCUCGGGGAGGCUCCUUGACAGCGGGGACCUGGGAAGAGAUUGGCACCUGGGCUAUCCAGGUAGGUGCAGCCACUGCCCCUGCUACUACCCUCCGCUCACUGAGAGAAUUCACAGAAACGUGUGACUCGGCUUGUUUUUCUUCUAAGAACCGGAGGUGAAUGCUUGCUCCUUGGAGGAAGUUCUGUGGCUCAGAGAGAGAGAAACCAGAUCAUAUGCCAAAGUGACCUUUCUCCCCAACUGUCGCGCAACACACAAAGCUAAUUAGCCAGGUUCUAAUUGGGUUGAAGUCUGAGAGUCCUGGGGAAAGUGGCUCCGCGAAGAGGACACAGUCUGCAGGGUCCCCGCUUGGGCCUGUUCUCCCUCGGUGACUUGUGUAUUAAAUUGGUUGAGUUUACUGGCCACAAGCUGGGUUUUCAGAUGGGAUGGCUUGGCAGCCAGCCCCUUGGAACCUCUGAGCCUAGCUGCGGUUUCUAGUCAGCAUCCUGGAAGUCGGGAUGGGCCGGGAUGGCCGGGAUGGCCGGGGCGACCGUGGCUGUGAGUUCUUCUUGCAUGCAACCACCGUGUCCUUGCCUGAGCGGGAAGACAAAUUCACACAACGGGGAGUGGCCACAUGUGGAGGCAGUGGGUACACCCAGGCUUGCAGGAGAACCGACGUGAGGCGGAAACCUGGGCUGUGGGGGCUCACUGAGGGGGCUGUGCCAUGGCUGAGGAGCCUGGAGCUCAGACCAGCGUGCGGUGAGCCUCCACCCACACCAAGAAGCCAAGAUGUGGCACAGGGCAGGGCGCAGGCUUGGGAAACAAAGCCUGCCUCCUCGCUGACCCCCUGAUGGGAAGCAGGCCAGCACCAGGCUCUGGUCAAGGGCCCAGGGACACCAAAGCCACUUGGCUUCGGACUUGAGGGCUAACCUAAGCUUUGCGCAAUGCCAAGAGAGCAAUCCCGCUCCUUUAAUUCCAGUGCAGACCUUGGAUAAUGUGGGAAGGUAAAGAAAAGGAAAUCACGAGCCAGGUCGCGCGCUUUAUUUUCCGGUAGCUCCCAGGCGUGGUUCACAGGGCCAUCACGUCUUAGUACACACAGGUGGCGUGCGCUGCGUUACUCAAUGGCAGGCACCUCGUGACCCUUCUGCACGAAUCCAGGAGUGAGAAGACGGGGCAGGGAAUGUGAAAGAGAAGAGCAAAGGGAGCAGCUGGCCCUGGAGACAGUGACCAGACAGGACGUCCAACCUGGUGUCGCCCCACCGCAGGGGUUCACUGGGGGUGGAACUUCUUUUGGGGAGCUGUGUGUGUCAUGUGCCUGCUUCCAGAGGGCCAAGGGCGUUCCUACUCCCAAGGCCCCUUCAGAGACACUUCAACACCCUGACCACCUCCUCGUCCACUAAAGCUUCCCAGCCCACCCUGGACACUUUCGUUACGGAGUCGAUCACUGACUAUUCGUUCCUCGUUUUCUCCAUCUGUCUGUGAGAUCUUUGAGGGCUUGGAUGGUGUCUUACCUUCACACCCCCAAGAGAGCAGAGUUGCCAGCGGUUAUAACGUGAAUGACUAGAUGAGGAAGGAAGUCAGUCAGUCUGGAAAUCAGAGCUGCUGUGCAGGAAAGAGACCCUGCCCCUAGGGUGGUCCCCGGGACGGUCCCUGGGACCAGAGAGCGAAGACCUUGUCUCAAGAUUCCAUGAGAAAGGCCAACCCGUGCUUCCGCCUGCUCAUUAUUUAUCACAAUCACUUAAACCAGCUCAAAGCCCUCCUCUCCCCAAAAGGACCCAAGGAAAAGUUGACAUCUAAUGUCGGUGAGUUACAUGAGUUACGUGUUCCUGGGUCAGUCGACUAGACGUCUUUCUUUCUUUUCUCUUUGUUUUUCUUUUCUAUUUUCAUUUCUUAUCAGCACAAAAGAAUGUUCUUUUGUUUUUGAUUUUACCAGAAGUCACACUUGGGUGUGGAUGAAGAGUCAAGAUAAGUUUCUUAGUAAAGGAAGCACCACGAUUCUCUGCCUGUGCGUUGAAGGUGGCCUGGGGAAGCCCGCUGUCUCAAGGGGACCACAUCCUUUCCAUGAAACGCCCGCCCGUCUCCAGGCUCUGCCCACCCCAGCCUGCUCACCUGCAUCCAGUCUUUGGCAAUCGAGAGUGAAAAGGUCAACAACCAAAAGUU